rnacentral:rRNA from 1 species
GACGAACGCUGGCGGCGUGCUUAACACAUGCAAGUCGAACGGAAAGGCCCUGCUUUUGUGGGGUGCUCGAGUGGCGAACGGGUGAGUAACACGUGAGUAACCUGCCCUUGACUUUGGGAUAACUUCAGGAAACUGGGGCUAAUACCGGAUAGGAGCUCCUGCUGCAUGGUGGGGGUUGGAAAGUUUCGGCGGUUGGGGAUGGACUCGCGGCUUAUCAGCUUGUUGGUGGGGUAGUGGCUUACCAAGGCUUUGACGGGUAGCCGGCCUGAGAGGGUGACCGGCAACAUUGGGACUGAGAUACGGCCCAGACUCCUACGGGAGGCAGAGGUGGGGAAUAUGGCACAAUGGGCGGAAGCCUGAGGCAGCAACGCCGGGGGCGGGAUGACGGCCUUCGGGUUGUAAACCGCUUUAGCCUGUGACGAAGCGGGAGUGACGGUAAUGGGUAAAGAAGCACCGGCUAACUACGUG